CCUACGGGAGGCUGCAGUGAGGAAUAUUGGUCAAUGGGCGGGAGCCUGAACCAGCCAAGUCGCGUGAGGGAAGACGGUCCAAUGGAUUGUAAACCUCUUUAGGCGGGGAGCAAUGCCGGGCACGCGUGCCCGGAGGGAGAGUACCCGCAGAAUAAGCAUCGGCUAACUCCGUGCCAGCAGCCGCGGUAAUACGGAGGAUGCGAGCGUUAUCCGGAUUUAUUGGGUUUAAAGGGUGCGUAGGCGGAUUUUUAAGUCAGCGGUAAAAGGUCCGGGCUCAACCCGGGCCGGCCGUUGAAACUGGGGAUCUUGAGUGGGCGAGAAGUAUGCGGAAUGCGUGGUGUAGCGGUGAAAUGCAUAGAUAUCGCGCAGAACUCCGAUUGCGAAGGCAGCAUACAGGCGCCCGACUGACGCUGAGGCACGAAAGCGUGGGGAUCGAACAGGAUUAGAUACCCUAGUAGUC
rnacentral:rRNA from 1 species